AAUUGCUCAGACAAAUCUACGAACUAUGAAAAAAGAUCUCAGGCCGCAGGGAUAGACGACCAGUGGGAACUACUGUUGAGACUCAGGGAGAAAAAGAGAGUCUACACCCUCUGGAAGAAGGGACAGGCUACUUGGGGAGAUUACAAGGAAGUAGCUAAGGUAUGCAGGGAAGAAGUUAAGAGGGCAAAAGCCCAACUUGAACUCAGAUUGGCUACUGCAGUAAAAGACAAUAAAAAAUCCUUUUAUAAAUAUAUCAACGGCAAAAGAAGAAACAAGGAUAAUUCUCAUCCUUUAAUUGAUGCAGCAGGGAAUGUGGCCACUGAGGACAGGGAGAAGGCUGAGAUCCUCAAUACCUUCUUUACAUCUGCCUUUAAUAGCCAGACCAGUUGUCUGGGAUGCUACUCAGAAGACACCCCCAGCGAUUCAGGUGGAGAGAGUGAGAGAGCUCCUCCUCCAUCUCGACUGUCACAAGUCCAUGGGACCAGAUGGCCUACACCCUCAGGUGCUGAGGUGAUUGCCGAGCCGAUCUUGGCCAUUUAUCAGUGCUCCUGGCUAACUGGAGAGGUCCCAGAGGAUUGGAGGCUUGCUGAUGUGACUCCUAUAUUCAAGAAGGGCCGUAAGGAGGAUCUGGGGAAUUAUAGGCCUGUCAGCCUGACCUCGGUACUGGGGAAAAUAAUGAAGCAAAUCCUCUUGGGUGAGAUCAUGCGGCAUGUGCAUGGUGUUCAGGGGAUCAGGCCCAGCCAGCACGGGUUCAUGAAAGGCAGGUCGUGCUUGACCAACCUCAUCUCCUUCUACGACUGGGUGACCAGACUGGUAGAUGAGGGAAAGGCUGUUGAUGUAGUUUCCCUAGACUUCAGCAAAACCUUUGACAUGGUCUCUAACAGGCUUCUUCUGGGGAAACUGGCUGCCUGUGGCCUGGACAGGUAUACUGUCCUUUGGGUAAGAAACUGGCUAGAGGGCCAUGCCCAACGGGUGGUGGUUAAUGGAGUUAAGUCCAGUUGGCGACCUGUUUACUGA
rnacentral:lncRNA from 1 species